rnacentral:rRNA from 1 species
GAUCAACGCUCGCGGCGUGCCUAAUACAUGCAAGUCGAGCGAACAGACGAGGAGCUUGCUCCUCUGACGUUAGCGGCGGACGGGUGAGUAACACGUGGAUAACCUACCUAUAAGACUGGGAUAACUUCGGGAAACCGGAGCUAAUACCGGAUAAUAUAUUGAACCGCAUGGUUCAAUAGUGAAAGACGGUUUUGCUGUCACUUAUAGAUGGAUCCGCGCCGCAUUAGCUAGUUGGUAAGGUAACGGCUUACCAAGGCAACGAUGCGUAGCCGACCUGAGAGGGUGAUCGGCCACACUGGAACUGAGACACGGUCCAGACUCCUACGGGAGGCAGCAGUAGGGAAUCUUCCGCAAUGGGCGAAAGCCUGACGGAGCAACGCCGCGUGAGUGAUGAAGGUCUUCGGAUCGUAAAACUCUGUUAUUAGGGAAGAACAAAUGUGUAAGUAACUAUGCACGUCUUGAGGGUACCUAAUCAGAAAGCCACGGCUAACUACGUG